GCGUCAGUAGUGCAACGGUUCAACGCGCGCUCCCAGAAAGAGUGAAAUCUGAGUUCGAGUUCCAGCUGAUGGCA